AUUAAACGCUGGCGGCAUGCCUUACACAUGCAAGUCGAACGGCAGCACGGGGGCAACCCUGGUGGCGAGUGGCGAACGGGUGAGUAAAGCAUCGGAACGUGCCCUGGAGUGGGGGAUAACGUAGCGAAAGUUACGCUAAUACCGCAUAUUCUGUGAGCAGGAAAGCAGGGGAUCGCAAGACCUUGCGCUCUGGGAGCGGCCGAUGUCGGAUUAGCUAGUUGGUGGGGUAAAGGCCUACCAAGGCGACGAUCCGUAGCGGGUCUAAGAGGAUGAUCCGCCACACUGGGACUGAGACACGGCCCAGACUCCUACGGGAGGCAGCAGUGGGGAAUUUUGGACAAUGGGCGAAAGCCUGAUCCAGCCAUGCCGCGUGAGUGAAGAAGGCCUUCGGUUGUAAAGCUCUUCGUGGGAGAAUGCAUAGGCUAAUACCCUCGUGUAGAUGACGGUACCUGGAGAAGAAGACACCGGCGUAACUACGUGCCAGCAGCCGCGGUAA
rnacentral:rRNA from 1 species